rnacentral:rRNA from 1 species
GACGAACGCUGGCGGCGUGCUUAACACAUGCAAGUCGAGCGGUAAGGCCUCUUCGGGGGUACACGAGCGGCGAACGGGUGAGUAACACGUGGGUGACCUGCCCUCAGCUCUGGGAUAAGCCUGGGAAACUGGGUCUAAUACCGGAUAUGACCUUUCCUCGCAUGGGGUUCGGUGGAAAGUUUUUUCGGCUGGGGAUGGGCCCGCGGCCUAUCAGCUUGUUGGUGGGGUGAUGGCCUACCAAGGCGACGACGGGUAGCCGGCCUGAGAGGGCGACCGGCCACACUGGGACUGAGACACGGCCCAGACCCCUACGGGAGGCAGCAGUGGGGAAGAUUGCGCAAUGGGCGGAAGCCUGACGCAGCGACGCCGCGUGGGGGAUGACGGCCUUCGGGUUGUAAACCUCUUUCGACCCCGACGAAUUUGGACGGUAGGGGUAGAAGAAGCACCGGCCAACUACGUG